CUCAAAGUGAUUCAAAUUUAUAUUUUAUCAUUUCAUAGAGUUCCCCAUAAUUUUUGGGAUAAUAAUAUAUCACUCAUAUAUUUUUCUCUUAACUUUAUGAGCUAAAUCAUUCAGUGUCUAAAUCAAUUCGUACCGAUUUUAAAAAAAUAUAUAUCUUCUCAAAGUAUCUUUAGAAAAUAUCUCACCAUCCUUAUCCCUCCGUCCACCUCAUCCUCGGCUCACUCUCAUUUCUUUCUUCCUUCACGUUUUUUUUCUUUCUUUUGCUGCAUACCCAUUUCAUUUGUUCUUCUUCAUGUUUUCUCCUUUCUUGUUCUCUUCUUCUCCUCAUCACCAACACCAAAUUCUUAUUUUCUCUCUUGUACAGCACCUCACCAUCAUCACGAGUUGCUUCUUCCUUCAUGUUCAAGCCGCCACCAAUCCUCUCCAUGGCCACAACGAAGCCAGCCAUCACCACCAUGGUUUUCCUUUCUUCUUCAUUCACGUGCAGCACCCACACCAUCACCACCGUCCCUCAUCCUCACCAUGGCAACAGUCCAGCCAAGAGGCCACCAUAAUCACGUUCUUCUUCUCCUUUCCACCAUGAAAACCAUCACCACAAACAUGUUCUUGUUCUGCCCCUCCUUCUUCACGCAAGAAAGCCACCAUGGCAGCCACCAUGUUCCUCUUCUUUCUCUCCAUGGCCACCACGAGAAGGCCAGCACCACAAACGUACAGCCCCAUUCAUCAUAUGGUAUUGUUCAAGCUUCAUCUUCCAUAUCAUGACAAGGAGACACCAUCACCAUGCCACUUUACUUCCUCAUGUGGGUAUGAAUAACGGAAGCGCUUGACGACGAAGCCAAAGAACAGACGGAAGUGAGCCAACACGGGAAAGCAAAGAUAUGACUGGAUUUGAUUUGAGUCGCAACUUAGUAAGGAAAGCGCAUAAGGUUAGGGCAACUUACAUAUUAGCUAUGACUGCAUGAUAGGCGUCGAUAAAUUCGACUUAUGCUUUAUCUGAUGUUGUUUUUGAUGAUGAGUUGAUGUUAUGAUGCUUUUCCAUACUUGUGAUGUUGUGCUUUUGUUGGAUUGAGCGUUUUGACGCAAUUUCGGAGUGGAGAUUCAUUGAUCUGGUGAUCUUUGAUAUUUCGGGUUGGAUGAACAACCCUAGGCAAGUCCAAAUGUGGGGUUUGAGACUUAGCCAUAUGUUGGAAUUCUUAGACUUUCCCCGGGAAAUGUAUUUUGGGUGGUUGAUCUUUGAAAACUUAGAAUGAUAGAGCUUUGAAAAACUAAAGACUUGGGAAACUUAGACUUUGAGAAAUAAACUCAUAACUUGACUAAUUCGAAUUGAAACAAUUUUUAUUAACGUUUAAGCAUAGGAGAACUGAAGGGGAAAAUAUUUACGAAAGACGGGGAAAAGUCGACUUUGUUGUGGGUUUGGAGAGUUAUUGGAAUCGGGAAAGCCACUGAGGUGAGCUAUGGUGAUGAUUGAAAGUCACCGAGUACUCUAGUACUCUUGGGAGUGUUGUUCGAGUCGUGUUGUAUUGACCGGCACAGGCUCUGGGCUUUGUUUGUGGGUUUUGUGGUGGGAGUUGUGUUGUAUUGACCGACACUAACUCCGAGUCGUGUUGUAUUGACCGACACUGACUCUGGCUUUGAUUUUGGGUUUUGUUGUUGGGGUUGUGUUGUAUUGACCGACACUAAUCCCUUGGGUUAUCUUGUUGUUGGAGCCGUGUUGUAUUGACCGACACUUAGUGCUCUUGUUGUUUGGGCUGUGUUGUAUUGACCGACACUAGACCCUUGUGUAUUCUUGUUGAUGGAGUUGUGUUGUAUUGACCGACACUUACUCCGAGUUGUGUUGUAUUGACCGACACUAACUCAUGGGUUUGUUGAGAUUGUUUUGUGAGCUAAACACUUUCGUGGUAAGGGCGAUUCGUUGUUUGGCUAACCAUAUUGCAUCAAUCGGGUGAAUAACGGGAAUGGUUCACCUGUGCAUAUCAUGGUGAAUAACGGGAAUGGUUCACCUUGCAUAAAUGAUGAAUAACGGGAAUGGUUCAUCAUAUGGUGAAUAACGGGAAUGGUUCACCAAGGAUGAAUAACGGGAAUGGUUCAUCCAGGAUGAAUAACGGGAAUGGUUCAUCCAUAGUGAAGAACGGGAAUGCUUCACUUGUGGCGAACGGGAACGCGUCACAAAUCCGGAUUCAUGAUUGCAUUUCACGCAUACAUUCACUCUGACUGGAAUUGUGUGCUGUUUGAUUUAUUUGAAGCAUUGUUAGAGCCAAUAACAUGCUAGGAUUGUUUAUAUAUAUAUAUAUAUAUAUCAACAUAUAUCUAUACCCCAUAUCACAUGUUGAGUGUAUAUCUACUUAUUACUGUGAGUUGACCCUCGCGCCUUGGCUUUGGUUGUAUGUUUGUGUUUGGGCGGUCGGCCUGCUGCCAGACGACGAAAGGAGGUGAUGUGAGCAGAUGCUACUCCACUUGGAAGAUCUAUAGAAGACUCGAAGAAUAGAGUCGGGUGUAGGGCUAGAGCCUUUGGGUAGAAAAGCUUACCGUUAUUGGUUUAAGCUUGCAGGAUCAUUUUAUGAUUUGUAUUUAAGGUUUCGGGUAGGUUCCGGUGCAUUGCUUUCCUAUGGUUACUCAGUGUGGAAAUCAUAGGGAGUAUAUCGGAUUUAUGGAGUCAUUGCAUAGUUAGUCCGUUGUUGGAUCUUAGUUUAUUUGUCAUGUACUCUAUGCUGUGCCUUGAUCGAGGCCAGAUGUAAAUUAUUUACGGUUGGGAGUAUGCAUUACAUAUUUUAGAAACACUUCGAAAAGGAAAAAAAAAUAAAUACUCACAUUUAUAAAUCCCUUUUGGAAAA